rnacentral:lncRNA from 10 species
AAAGGAAAGUGCACAUUUUACUUCAUCUAAGUUUUAUGUGACACAAGAGCCUUCAUAAGGAAAUGCCAACCCGAAGAAACAGGCGAGCCUGAGUGUGUUUCACAGGGGGUUUGGUGAAAAUGGGGCGGUGGAAGGAAAGAACAGAAGGAAGCAGCAUGAUCUACUGGCAGCAAAGCGGGGGGACCUGGCAGGCCUGUGUGGCCCUUCAGCUCCCGAGCUAAGGACACUCCACUCCACAUGAUGGGGUGGCCACUUCUCA